rnacentral:rRNA from 1 species
CACGUAGGGCGCAAGCGUUGUCCGGAAUUAUUGGGCGUAAAGCGCGCGCAGGUGGUUCCUUAAGUCUGAUGUGAAAGCCCACGGCUCAACCGUGGAGGGUCAUUGGAAACUGGGGAACUUGAGUGCAGAAGAGGAAAGUGGAAUUCCACGUGUAGCGGUGAAAUGCGUAGAGAUGUGGAGGAACACCAGUGGCGAAGGCGACUUUCUGGUCUGUAACUGACACUGAGGCGCGAAAGCGUGGGGAGCAAACAGG